rnacentral:rRNA from 1 species
AGCUCCAAUAGCGUAUAUUAAAGUUGUUGCAGUUAAAAAUCUCGUGGUUGGAUUUGUUGUGAGAGUUGAAAUGGUUGACAAAGUUGAUCGUUUUCAUUCCACAUUCUUUGUGUUGGCUUUGGGAUGGCAUUCAGUUGCUGCCUCAAAUACACGCAUCUUUUACUGUGAAAAAAUUAGAGUGUUUAAAUCAGACGUUAUUGUCGUUGAAUACAUUAGCAUGGAAUAAUAAUAUAUGACUCGAUUGGUCUAUUUUGUUGGUUUGCACAUUUGAGUAAUGAUUAAUAGGGACAGUUGGGGAUAUUCAUAUUUGAGCGUCAGAGGUGAAAUUCUUGGAUCGCUGAAAGAUGUUUUCAUUA